AUGAACGCUGGCGGCGUGCCUAAUACAUGCCAGUCGAGCGAACAGAUGAGGAGCUUGCUCCUCUGACGUUAGCGGCGGACGGGUGAGUAACACGUGGAUGACCUACCUAUAAGACUGGGAUAACUUCGGGAAACCGGAGCUAAUACCGGAUAAUAUAUUGAACCGCAUGGUUCAAUAGUGAAAGACGGUUUUGCUGUCACUUAUAGAUGGAUCCGCGCCGCAUUAGCUAGUUGGUAAGGUAACGGCUUACCAAGGCAACGAUGCGUAGCCGACCUGAGAGGGUGAUCGGCCACACUGGAACUGAGACACGGUCCAGACUCCUACGGGAGGCAGCAGUAGGGAAUCUUCCGCAAUGGGCGAAAGCCUGACGGAGCAACGCCGCGUGAGUGAUGAAGGUCUUCGGAUCGUAAAACUCUGUUAUUAGGGAAGAACAAAUGUGUAAGUAACUAUGCACGUCUUGACGGUACCUAAUCAGAAAGCCACGGCUAACUACGUG
rnacentral:rRNA from 1 species